rnacentral:rRNA from 1 species
AGGAUUCCCCUAGUAACUGCGAGUGAAGCGGGAAAAGCUCAAAUUUAAAAUCUGGCGGUCUUUGGCUGUCCGAGUUGUAAUCUAGAGAAGUGUUACCCGCGCUGGACCGUGUACAAGUCUCCUGGAAUGGAGCGUCAUAGAGGGUGAGAAUCCCGUCUUUGACAUGGACUACCAGKGCUUUGUGGUGCGCUCUCAAAGAGUCGAGUUGUUUGGGAAUGCAGCUCAAAAUGGGUGGUAAAUUCCAUCUAAAGCUAAAUAUUGGCGAGAGACCGAUAGCGAACAAGUACCGUGAGGGAAAGAUGAAAAGAACUUUGGAAAGAGAGUUAAACAGUACGUGAAAUUGCUGAAAGGGAAACGCUUGAAGUCAGUCGCGUCGACCAGGAAUCAACCUUGCUCUUU